AACAGGAACCCAAUUCAGAUCGCUGGUAAAACACGCUAGCAGAUAAGAUAUUCCCUGUUUGUGUAAAUGAGGACAGCAUCAGUAAGGUUUCACCUGAUCAACGGCUGGUGCAGCGCCACCAGGGCGGCGUGAAUGGAGACGGAGAUCACAGACAGGUGGAAGUAAUCGAACAUGACGGGCAGAUGAUGGUGAAGGCCGUGGUGUGGAUGAAAGUGAAGACCCAACGUCCUGCUGCUAAUCAGAGGCACAGAGGAGAUAUCUGCCAACCUAAAGCACACAACAUUUACAUAAGAAACUGCAGAUCUAAUUUGAGCUGGACGUCCACCUCGCUCAUGGCCUCCUCUACCUGAGAUAGACGAUACGACACCUGUCAAUCACAGCUGGCGGCGAUCUUUAAAAACUGCUAACUAAGAGCUCUUAGUGGAGUAAUGGAUAAGAUUAAGAGUCAUCAGUUCGCUUAACGCAGAUGAACUCUAAAGUUCAUGCGGUCUUCCAGGGUCACCUCUUCAUUCCUGUAGAGGAUUUGAAAUAUCCGACUAAAGACCGCUCCAUCGUGAACCCCGGCGGUGAUGAAACUGCUCUCGCCUGCCGACAGACACAAAGCACAAAUGAACUUCUCCAUUACUCACAUCAAAGCUUAACAGACAGUAAGAUAUGAUGUGUGUGUAUUUGUGUGUACAGCUUUUGUUUUGCCUCCUGAGACUUUUCGGCAGAACUAUGAUUUUGUGUGUUUGUAACUAUGAAGGCUUUCAGAAACUGUUCAGAUAUUUCAGGCUCCCAAUACGCCGAUAUAGCACAAAAUGUUUACGUAUACAGCUUAACGUGUCUCUGUGUGGAUGCCCCCUUAAUUCACAGAUUUUUAUCUUUUUAAGGAACUUAGAGGAAAAGUUUCCCCUGAGAAAUAUUUGACCAGCAUCAAAAUUCUCAUGUAUGGCUUUGAAAUCCAGUGUUAUUUUAUCUGUCUGGCAACGUGUCACUAACCCGACCUUAAAACAGCAACGUCAACCCACAUCCAUUCGGUGUGGGACAGAGAUGCUCGCUGUGAUGUGAAUAUCUCAGUGGGGUUUCUCCUCAGCUGAGAAGAUGAUAGUGAAUGUCAAAGUGGUGAACAGCGAGGGUCUCGAUUAAAGACGGACCCCCAUUGACGCUGUCUCUCACUGUGUGUCUGUCUCGCUCGCCCUCUGAAUGUCUCUCUGUGUGUCGCCAAAACUGUUUCACAGUCGGCCGAUAACCAGAGAGAGUUUUACUGUCGCGUCUGAUCCUACUAGAGGAAUCGUGUGAACUGUGUGUUUGACAAACUACAAAGAGAGAGAACAGAAUUAGGCGUUUACAUUUUUUAUGUAAAAUGUAAAAACAGAAAUUAUUUUCUUAAGCCAUAUUCUGACUGUAAUUGUAAGGUGUUUUCCACCUUUUUCUUUUGAUAUAAAUGUUCUGCGAUGUAACUAUUGCAGAUGCACACAUUGCAAUGUCGAUGUUGAAAGAUAUAUUGUGUAGUCCUAGUCUGAAUCCACAUCUCUGUGUUUAUAAAAGGGGAUCAAUGCAAACGUCAUUUUGUACACCACUGAAAAGCACUGUAUGGUAACUGUCACACUUUGCAUUAAUCUGCAUCAGUGAAGCGUCUUUCUUUGCAUGCAUUUUAAAGUUUGACACCUUUAUAGAAAGGUGAUGAAUUUUUUUUACAGCAACAACUGUUAAGAGCAAAAGAA